rnacentral:piRNA from 1 species
UGGGUUGGGAAAAGUCACACAUGAACGAUUGU